UAGUUGGCCUCCAGACCGUCCAGUAUCUGCACAGAAUAAUUUCUCCUUGAUUAUAAAUCAAUUUCCUUAUAAAAGGUUUUUGCCUGCAUUACAAUUUUGCAGUGGUUAUAUCUGUUACUUGGAUGAAGUGAUAUAUUUCGAAAAAAAUGCGUCUUUGCAGAUUUGAAGAUUGAUAUGGUGGCAAAGCUAACAACCAUUUAUUAUUUCAUCUUCAAAGUCCUUUUCAUAUGUAGCUUUUGGUAUAUAGAUAUUCUCCCUCGCCAUCUUCGGAGGCUGAUGGCUGACAUACUACCUGUAACAAGACCUCUCACCUUAUGUUCAUUUUUAAUGCUCUUUGCUUUCUCUGCUGAAAUAUACAGUGCUGGCUUUAGCUGUUUCCUA